CCAAGGGUGCUAGAACUUUCCCCAUGUGCUUUCACAUUUGUCUCUCACUCUUUCUGUGUUCUUUGAUCUCUUCUGAUUUCCAUGAGUCUGCUUGCAUGUUUUCUAUUCAAUUAUCAUUCCUUUGACUAAUUCACUUCUCUAUUUUGUCAGGAGACAGGCAAAAAGUUCUGCAGCAGCUGCCUCAGCCCUGGACCUUCUCGGGGCAGCGGCCCGAGCGGCCGUGACAACCUGAUGGGCCGUGGAAGGGUUUCUCUCCGCUCCCACAGACUGCCCCAGAUUACGGGAAUGAAAUACCAGAGUGUGAGGAAAGGGAACAACAGUCUCUCAGCUCUUCUGCCUCAUUCUCAGCAUCCAGCCCAGAAUGCAGCUCCUGGAUUUCUCAGCCCAAUCUGUGGAGAUUUAACCCCCUGCUGCAGCCAUCAUCACAGAAUUCUGGGAAUUAACAUAUGUUAAAUGUGGUUUCUAUUUAUAUAUAUUGAAUCCUAGUACCAUUUAUCAAAUCCACUCUUUCUCUACUCCUCUUAAAUAUCAAUACUGUCAUCUAUCAAGGUUUCAUAUGUACAUUGGUCUAUUUCUGAGGUUUCUAUUUGAUUCCACUGAUGUCUGCCUGUUCCUUAGCCAGUCUCACAGUUUUAAGUGUAUAAUAUUUUCUAUAACAGUAGUAAUUCUAUAAUGUAUAGUACUUUCAUCAGAAAUUAAUUGGAGUUUGAAUUAAUUUUAAUUUGGAUAGAAUUAACAUUUUUAUAAUAGCUAUACUUAUCAAUGGAUACUGCAUUUCAUGAUAUUUUAUUGGCUAUAGAAUGAUAGACAUAAUUUAAAUAUAAUAAUGUUUUCUCCAUAAAAUUACACACUAUUUGUUAUAUUUAAAUGAUAUAUAAUCUGCAUGUGUGUCAGAAAUCAUAUCUUAUUUAAAAUUGUAUUUCCUAACUUAUGUUGCUAGUUGAUUGGAGCAUAAAUUAUUUAGUUAUAUUGUAUGUACAUUUAGCAAUCUUAAUGAAUUAUCUUAUUGGCUAAUGUUAAUGCAUGAAAUGUUUUUGCUUCUUCUUCUUCUCAAUUUUAUUCUCACAAAAUUUUCUAGGACCUACAGAGAAAUGUGGGCUAGAAAUGAUGAUAUUGGUUAUUCUGGCUUGGUUCCACAUUUAAAGAAUUUUUAGCCAAUAUUUCAAAAUUAAAUAUUGUAUUUUUACAUGCCUUUAAUAAAUCAUCUUUUGGGGUUAAAUACCUUCCACUCUAUUCCUUGUGUACUAAGUUUGUCUUUUCCUUCCUUCUUGCUUUUUUUGCUUUUGCCUUAAAUGGUUGUUAAAUCUUAUUAAGUUUUAUAAUCCAUUAGACUCAUAAAGCAAAAAACUUAGACAUUGUUUUCAUGUUCUAUCUCCAAACCUCAAAAUGACACAUAGCAACUAUUCAGUAUGUAUCCAUUGGUGAAUUAAUUAUUACAACUUUUUUUUUCCUGUCUGUUGAGAUGAUCAUUUAUGCCUUUUAAAACUUAAUGUGGUGAAUUAUAUUGAGAUAUUCUAACAAGAAUUAGUCCAUUUCUUGAGUAAAAUUGACUUCAUCAUGAUAUAUUGCAUUUUUUUUAUAUUGCUGAAUUUAAUUUCCUAACAUAUGCUUAGGUAUGUUACAUCGUUGUUCAAAAGCGAAAUGAGACUUUGCUCUUCUGUACCAUUCUUAUUCAAUUUGACACAAAAUUAUUCUGACAAAAUAAAAGGAAAUCAUACUCUUUCUGAACUCUAAAAGUGUUUAUAUAUGACAGAAAUAUCUUGCAUGUUAACUUCAACAUUCCGGAAAAAUAUCUUGACCUGAUUUGUUACAUGAAUUAAUGUUUAAUAACAAAUAAUAAUUAUGUUUGUAUAAUGAUCUUAAGGUAAUUCAAGUGUUGCAUUUCUUAUGUCAUUUUCAUAUUAUGUUUCUAGAAAAUUAUCCCAGUGGUAUAAAUUUUCAAACUUACUGAUGUAGUUUAUCAUUUACCCUUAUUUUUCUAUAUAAUUGCAAUAUAUAUUUAUGGACUUUUUCUCUUUUCUGGUGUUAUUUUCUUGAUUAUUUGAAUAUUUGUCUUUGUGAAAUCUUUUAACCACAAGAACUGUAAUUCCCAAACCUUUAAUUAAUAGAAAUUUUCCCUACGUCUUUUCUUUAGGAGAAAUAGCCAAAUAUAAAAAUAUCAAUACUGUAAAUAAAG